UACGUAGGGUGCAAGCGUUGUCCGGAAUUAUUGGGCGUAAAGAGCUUGUAGGCGGUUUGUCGCGUCUGCUGUGAAAUUUCGGGGCUCAACCCCGAACUUGCAGUGGGUACGGGCAGACUAGAGUGUGGUAGGGGAGACUGGAAUUCCUGGUGUAGCGGUGAAAUGCGCAGAUAUCAGGAGGAACACCGGUGGCGAAGGCGGGAUCCUGGGCCAGUACUGACGCUGAGGAGCGAAAGCGUGGGGAGCAAACAGG
rnacentral:rRNA from 1 species